rnacentral:rRNA from 1 species
UAGGGAAUCUUCCGCAAUGGGCGAAAGCCUGACGGAGCAACGCCGCGUGAGUGAUGAAGGUCUUCGGAUCGUAAAACUCUGUUAUUAGGGAAGAACAAAUGUGUAAGUAACUAUGCACGUCUUGACGGUACCUAAUCAGAAAGCCACGGCUAACUACGUGCCAGCAGCCGCGGUAAUACGUAGGUGGCAAGCGUUAUCCGGAAUUAUUGGGCGUAAAGCGCGCGUAGGCGGUUUUUUAAGUCUGAUGUGAAAGCCCACGGCUCAACCGUGGAGGGUCAUUGGAAACUGGAAAACUUGAGUGCAGAAGAGGAAAGUGGAGUUCCAUGUGUAGCGGUGAGAUGCGCAGAGAUAUGGAGGAACACCAGUGGCGAAGGCGACUUUCUGGUCUGUAACUGACGCUGAUGUGCGAAAGCGUGGGGAUCAAACAGG